rnacentral:rRNA from 1 species
GACGGAGGAGGCAAGCGUUAUCAGGAAUUAUUGGGCGUAAAGGGUACGUAGGCGGCUGGUCAAGUCUGGGGACAAAGGCCACAGCUCAACUGUGGGAAGGCCCUGGAAACUGACCGGCUAGAGUGAGGUAGGGGUUGCGGGAAUUCCCGGUGUAGCGGUGAAAUGCGUAGAGAUCGGGAAGAACACCUGAGGCGGAAGCGCGCAACUGGGCCUCAACUGACGCUGAGGUGCGAAAGCGUGGGGAGCGAACGGG